rnacentral:rRNA from 1 species
UGGCUCAGGAUGAACGCUAGCGGCAGGCUUAACACAUGCAAGUCGAGGGGUAUGCUUCUUCGGGAGCAGAGACCGGCGCACGGGUGCGUAACGCGUAUGCAAUCUACCUUUUACAGAGGGAUAGCCCAGAGAAAUUUGGAUUAAUACCUCAUAGUAUAAUAGCUCGGCAUCGAGCAAUUAUUAAAGUCACAACGGUAAAAGAUGAGCAUGCGUCCCAUUAGCUAGUUGGUAAGGUAACGGCUUACCAAGGCUACGAUGGGUAGGGGUCCUGAGAGGGAGAUCCCCCACACUGGUACUGAGACACGGACCAGACUCCUACGGGAGGCAGCAGUGAGGAAUAUUGGACAAUGGGCGCAAGCCUGAUCCAGCCAUGCCGCGUGCAGGAUGACGGUCCUAUGGAUUGUAAACUGCUUUUGUACAGGAAGAAACAGUUCUACGUGUAGAACCUUGACGGUACUGUAAGAAUAAGGAUCGGCUAACU